rnacentral:misc_RNA from 1 species
UCCCAAAAAUUUGGGGUCGGCUACUUUCUGCAAUGUCUACAUUUAAUCAAAUCUCCAUUUUACAUAUAGAUUGUGUGAGCAUAUUCCCUCUGCUUUCUGUUGUUUUAGGGAUAUGCACUUUUUGAUUCCAACUAAAAUUCUUCUAGUACUGGUUGACAACAGCUUAUAUUUCUUGCUUGAAACUACUUCUUGUUUAACAAUCCUUGAU